rnacentral:rRNA from 2 species
CAUGCGGAAGGAUCAUUA